AUUGAACGCUGGCGGCAUGCCUAACACAUGCAAGUCGAACGGCAGCACAGCAGUAGCAAUACUGUGGGUGGCGAGUGGCGGACGGGUGAGGAAUACGUCGGAAUCUGCCCAGUCGUGGGGGAUAACUAGCCGAAAGGUUAGCUAAUACCGCAUACGACCGAGAGGUGAAAGCGGGGGACCGCAAGGCCUCGCGCGAUUGGAUGAGCCGACGUCGGAUUAGCUAGUUGGCGGGGUAAAGGCCCACCAAGGCGACGAUCCGUAGCUGGUCUGAGAGGAUGAUCAGCCACACUGGAACUGAGACACGGUCCAGACUCCUACGGGAGGCAGCAGUGGGGAAUUUUGGACAAUGGGCGAAAGCCUGAUCCAGCCAUGCCGCGUGCAGGAUGAAGGCCUUCGGUUGUAACGUAGCUUUUGUUACGGUACGAAAGGUACGUUUUACUUAACUUAAAGUAAAGGACGUCAUGUACGGUACCGUAACGUAAGUAAAGACACCGGACCGUAACCUAACGUACGUCCACG
rnacentral:rRNA from 1 species